rnacentral:rRNA from 1 species
UACGUAGGGCGCAAGCGUUAUCCGGAAUUAUUGGCGUAAGAGCUCGUAGGCGUUGUCGCGUCUGCCGUGAAAGUCGGGCUCAACUCGAUCUGCGUGGUACGGCAGACUAGAGUGAUGUAGGGAGACUGAUCUGUGUAGCGUGAAUGCGCAGAUAUCAGAGACACGAUGGCGAGGCAGUCUCUGCACUACUGACGUGAGAAGCGAAGCAUGGGAG